rnacentral:misc_RNA from 1 species
GUUAUUAUCAGGCUGGAUCAUCGGAAAUGACUUCUUCCCGUGGCAGCGAUAUGAGAUCUUACGGCCUCAAGGAGGCGGAGAGCACCAGUGGCCACCACAUCUGCAGUAUAAUCAGGAAUUUCGAAAGACACAGCGACAUGGGAUUGAGCAGCGAGAUUGUAAACCUCGUCGGGAAGAAUGGUAUCAAGCCAGCGGCGAAGAGAGGAGGCGUCAGUGAGAUCAGCAUAGUGUAGCUUCAU